rnacentral:rRNA from 1 species
UUCCGGUUGAUCCUGCCGGAGAUCACUGCUAUUGGGGUUCGACUAAGCCAUGCGAGUCGAGAGGGUUCGGCCCUCGGCAAACGGCUCAGUAACACGUGGGUAACCUACCCUCAGGACAGGGAUAACCCCGGAAAACUGGGGACAAUACCUGAUAGGUGGAGAUGUCUGGAACGACUCUCCGCUCAAAUGCUCCGGCGCCUGAGGAUGGGCCUGCGACCGAUUAGGUUGUUGGCGGUGUAAUGGACCACCAAGCCUGAAAUCGGUACGGGUGUUGAGAGACAUAGCCCGGAGAUGGGGACUGAGACACGGCCCCAGGCCCUACGGGGCGCAGCAGGCGCGAAAACUCCGCAAUACACGAAAGUGUGACGGGGGAACCCCAAGUGCUCUCGCGCAAGCGAGUGCUUUUGUGAAGUGUAAAUAGCUUCAUGAAUAAGAGCUGGGUAAGACCGGUGCCAGCCGCCGCGGUAACACCGGCAGCUCGAGUGGUGAUCACUAUUAUUGGGCCUAAAGCGUCCGUAGCCGGUUUGAUAAGUCCUUGGGCAAAUCCUGCCGCUUAACGGCAGGAAUUCUGAGGAUACUGUCAGACUUGAGGCCGAGAGAGGUCGGAGGUACUUCUGGGGUAGCGGUGAAAUGCUAUAAUCCUAGUGGGACCACCAGUGGCGAAAGCGUCCGACUAGAGCGGGCCUGACGGUAAGGGACGAAAGCCAGGGGAGCGAACGGGAUUAGAUACCCCGGUAGUCCUGGUCGUAAACGCUGUGGGCUAGGUGUUGCAUGCUCUACGAGGGCGUGCAGUGCCGAAGAGAAGUUGAUAAGCCUACCGCCUGGGAAGUACUAUCGCAAGAUAGAAACUUAAGGAAUUGGCGGGGGAGCACCACAAGGGUGAAGUCUGCGGUUUAAUUGGACUCAACGCCGGU